UACGUAGGGUGCGAGCGUUAAUCGGAAUUACUGGGCGUAAAGGGCGCGUAGGCGGCCCUCUAAGUCGAACGUGAAAUCCCCGGGCUCAACCCGGGAACUGCGUCCGAUACUGGAGGGCUCGAAUCCGGGAGAGGGAUGUGGAAUUCCAGGUGUAGCGGUGAAAUGCGUAGAUAUCUGGAGGAACACCGGUGGCGAAGGCGGCAUCCUGGACCGGUAUUGACGCUGAGGCGCGAAAGCCAGGGGAGCAAACGGG
rnacentral:rRNA from 1 species